UCGAGGAUCUUCGGCAAUGGGCGCAAGCCUGACCGAGCGACGCCGCGUGUGCGAUGAAGGCCUUCGGGUUGUAAAGCACUGUCGAGGGGAAGGAAGGGAAACUUGACCGACCCCUGGAGGAAGCACGGGCUAAGUUCGUGCCAGCAGCCGCGGUAAGACGAACCGUGCGAACGUUAUUCGGAUUCACUGGGCUUAAAGGGCGCGUAGGCGGUGGACCCAGUCCGGGGUGAAAUCUUUCGGCUCAACCGGAAAAGUGCCUCGGAUACUGGUUCACUCGAGGGAGGUAGGGGCAUGUGGAACUUCCGGUGGAGCGGUGAAAUGCGUUGAUAUCGGAAGGAACGCCGGUGGCGAAAGCGACGUGCUGGCCCUCUUCUGACGCUGAGGCGCGAAAGCCAGGGGAGCAAACGGGAUUAGAUACCCCUGUAGUCC
rnacentral:rRNA from 1 species